rnacentral:tRNA from 1 species
GGAGAGUUACCGAAGUGGCCAUAACGGGGCGGUCUUGAAAACCGUUAGGGCGAAAGUCCACGCGGGUUCGAAUCCUGCACUCUCCGCCA